rnacentral:rRNA from 1 species
UUCUACGGCUAUGCCACCCUGAAUGUGCCCGAUCUCAUCUGAUCUCAGAAGCUAAGCAGGGUCGGUUAAUACUUGAAUGGGAGACCUCCUAGGAAUACCGGGUGCUAUAGGCG